ACCACCCCAAACAGCUAGCCAACACCAAAAACAACAACCAACAUUAAUAACCCCACACACACGACCUCGACCAAAAAUCAAACCAUUUUGCCCCCUAAGUAUAAGUGACAGAAACG
rnacentral:rRNA from 1 species